UUUUUUUGCAAAGCCCUUUCCCUCUUCUUUCUUUUACUCCCUUUGUUCCUUUCUUUUUCUAAUGUUUUCAAUUGCAAUAAUAUCUUAGUCAUAAUCACCUCUACUAUCUUCUUUUAUCGUUUCUUUAAUUGUUUAUAUACAUGCUCCUGUCCCUUUCAUUUGAUUGAUUAUAUGAACAUAUACAACUACCAUGUUUAGCUCUUUCUUUUUUUGUUUCUUGAAAGUGAUACCCAUAUAUUAUUCUAUUUAAUUGUGUUCUUGGAUGCUGCUGAGCUCUUUUUAGACCAUGUAUUUUACUAAUAUUUACACAUCUUCUUGUUCCUAUUGUUUCAUUUCUUGGAUGUUUUUAAAGAUUUGAUUUUUAUCCCUUGUUUUUCUAGGACCCUGUUUUUGGCUUCCAACGACUAAAUAAAAAUGUUCAUUAUUUGCAUAGAUUACCAAUUUAUACAUAGCAAUCAAGCUUAAGUUAAUGGCGACUGCAACGAUGGCCACAGCGGCUGGUGCAGCUGCACUUUUGUAUUAUACUCUUAACAAGAAAUUACAAUCAAAGCCAUCUUCUGGAGAAGAUGAUGCUGAUGAUUCUGAUGAAAACGUCAGCCCUGGACAAAGCAAUGUCCACACAGGUAUUCAUCGUGUUUCCAACAGGCUUAUUCAAGCCCCUGCGACAUGGUUGGAGACGAUUUCAACAUUGUCGGACACCCUUAAGUUUACAUACUCCGAGACUCUUGGAAAGUGGCCUAUAGGAGAGUUGGCGUUUGGUAUCAGUUUCCUUUUAAAGCAACAGGGGAAUUAUCAAGUCCACAGUGUGUUCGGUGGGAAAGAUAGUGUGCAACUAAAAGGAGAUGAAAUAACUUUAGAGCUUCGAUAUUUUUUGCACUUGCUGACUUUAUGUUGGCAUUUCUCUAAGAAACCUUUUCCUUUAUUUUUGGAAGAAACAGGCUUCUCAAAAGAGAAUGUUCUUCUUCAGGAACCUAAAGCUGGAAUUCUUAAGCCAGCUUUUACAGUGCUAGUAGAUCAUAAAACAAAAUCCUUCCUUCUACUUAUUCGUGGAACUCAUAGUAUUAAAGAUACCCUGACAGCCGCUACUGGAGCAGUGGUACCAUUUCAUCACACAGUUGUACAUGAGGAAGGAGUUAGUAAUUUGGUAUUGGGUUAUGCACAUGGUGGAAUGGUUGCAGCUGCUCGAUGGAUUGCCAAACUUGCAACUCCUUGUCUCAUCAAAGAGCUGAAGACAUUUCAUGAUUAUAAACUGAAGAUUGUUGGACAUUCUUUGGGGGGGAGCACUGCAGCACUUUUAACCUAUGUCAUGCGAGAGCGGAAGGAAUUGGCUACUGCUUCCUGUGUUACAUUUGCUCCAGCUGCUUGUAUGACCUGGGAUUUGGCAGAAUCUGGCAAUGAAUUCAUUACAACUCUUAUCAAUGGAGCUGAUUUAGUGCCUACUUUCUCCGCUGCUUCAGUGGAUGACUUGCGCACUGAGGUCACCGCAUCUGCUUGGGUUAAUGAUUUAAAAAGUCAAAUUGAGCGUACUAGAAUACUUAGUACUGUAUAUCGGUCUGCAUCUGCACUUGGUUCUCGACUUCCGUCUAUAGCUAGCACUAGAGCAAGAGUAGCUGGUGCUGGUGCAAUACUUCGUCCGGUUUCUACUGGCACCCAGGUUGUGAUGAAGAGAGCCCAAACCAUGGCUCGGGCAGCAUGGUCGCGCCCGUCUUCUGAGUUAUCAUCAUGGUCGUGCAUAGGCCCCCGUCGCCGCCCCACCACUACUCGUACGCGUUCAAAUAUUGCCGAAUGUUCCAUAGGUUCGUCAUCUAGCAUAAGGGAAACCUUAGAGCCUCUCAAACCUCCCCAAGAGUCCAUAACAGCCAUUGAAGCCAUCGAGCGACCUGAGACCAGGGUUUUGAGUUUGGAACCUGAAUGCUCUCCUACAAAUGAACUAGGCUUGAAUUGUGAAACUGAUGUUGAUUAUAAUGACAACCUCGUUGGUCCUAAUACACGAGAAGACAGUAUGACGGAAGUUGAGCUAUGGCAACAACUUGAGCACGAGCUCUAUGACCAGCAUGAAAGUGAUGGAGAUAAUGCAGCAAAAGAAAUGAGGGAAGAAGAGGCAGAAGCUAUCUCUGAGAUGAGCGAGAGAGACCAUGCAAGCUCUGUGCUGAAUACAAGAGAGGUACACAGAUUUUUACCUCCGGGAAAGAUAAUGCAUAUAGUUACUCUUGUUGGCGAUGAGGCAGAGAAUGAAACUAAUAGCAGUACAUCCAGUGACAGUGGUAGUAGCCAGCCAGAGACAAAGAUUGGCAUAUUUCUUACCUCACGAUCAUUGUAUAGUAAAUUGAGGCUGUCGCGGACUAUGAUUGCUGAUCACUUCAUGCCCGUCUAUAGAAGACAAAUUGAAAAAUUGAUUGCAGAACUUGAAAAAGAAGAUACAGAAGCAGAGGUUCUCUCUUAGAGCACGAGCUUACCCUUGUUCAGCCUCCGAUCAAAUAUGUCUCAUAUGUUUAGCUUUUUUAAUAUUCCUCAAAAGCUUCAACAACAAGCUCUUCCGGAGAUACAGAGAUAAAUCACAUCACACACCCUCCAUCCAUCCAGCAAGGAAUGUCUGUGAGUGAAGAAGCCAUUGUAAAUUGUAAUCAAUCCUGCAAUAAUUGAUCAAUCAGUUGAGUGUGCUAGCUGCGAUUGCUGUGGAUUCACAGAGGAGUGCACGCAGGCCUACAUUCACAGCAUUC